CCGCCCCCUCCCCUGGCGGGCGCGGGCGCGAGACGCUGCGCGGCGGCAGCGGCGGGCGCGAGCAGCAGCUGUCAGGCCACCGAGGUCCAAGCUGCACUUGCCGCCCCGUGGAGGACGAGGAGGAGGCAGGAGCAGUGACGGUGUCGCCGAGGAGCCGGACUGCCGGCACGCAGAGCCGACCGGCCCCCCGCGGCCCUCUCCCGCCUCUCUCCCAUUGUGUUGGAAUCCUAAAAAGAAAAAAUAUAACAACAACAAGAAAAAGACUAAGAUUGUGACAAAGACACAACUGGGUUUAUAUUUUAUUUUCUUCUGGGCUCUCUUGGUUAUAUACUCCU
rnacentral:lncRNA from 1 species